rnacentral:rRNA from 1 species
CCUACGGGAGGCAGCAGUGAGGAAUAUUGGUCAAUGGACGCAAGUCUGAACCAGCCAUGCCGCGUGCAGGAAGACGGCCCUAUGAGUUGUAACCUGCUUUUGUACGAGGGUAAACGCAGAUUCGCUUAUCUGUCUGAAAGUAUCGUACGAAUAAGGCUCGGCUAACUCCGUGCCAGCAGCCGCGGUAAUACGGAGGAUUCAAGCGUUAUCCGGAUUUUUUGGGGUUAAAGGGUGCGGAGGCGGUCGGCUACGUUAGAGGUGAAAUCCCGAGGCUAAAAUUCGGAAUUUCCUCUGAUACUGUUGGGCGAGAGGGUAGAUGCGGUAGGCGGAAUGUAUGGUGUAGCGGUGAAAGGGUUAGA